rnacentral:rRNA from 1 species
UACGGAGGGUGCAAGCGUUAAUCGGAAUUACUGGGCGUAAAGCGCACGCAGGCGGUCUGUCAAGUCGGAUGUGAAAUCCCCGGGCUCAACCUGGGAACUGCAUUCGAAACUGGCAGGCUAGAGUCUUGUAGAGGGGGGUAGAAUUCCAGGUGUAGCGGUGAAAUGCGUAGAGAUCUGGAGGAAUACCGGUGGCGAAGGCGGCCCCCUGGACAAAGACUGACGCUCAGGUGCGAAAGCGUGGGGAGCAAACAGGAUUAGAUACCCUGGUAGUCCACGCCGUAAACGAUGUCGAUUUGGCGGUGGUGGCCUUGAGGCGUGGCUGCCGGAGCUAACGCGUUAAGUCGACCGCCUGGGGAGUACGGCCGCAAGGUUAAA